CAUUUUGUAGCGGAACGUGACAUUACGUUUAGUGUUUUGACACAGGUUUUGGUGUAAAAAAAUCAUAUAAGUAUAUGAAAAAUGGACGAGAAGUUAAUUGAACUUCUAAGAAAUCAUGAAGUGCUAUACAAUCACUCAUCAGCCGAGUACAGGGACCAGACGAUUCGAAAAGAAGCUUGGAAAGAAAUUGGUAGACACUUACAAAUAACAGGAAAAUUUACGGACAACGCCAAGGCAAAAUGGGACAAACUUAGACGAUGUUUCUGUAAUGCAAGAAAUAGACGCCUGUCUACAUAAAGUGGCCAAGUUACCAAAAAAAUAACGCCAUGGAAAUUUGAACAGCAGAUGACAUUUUUGCUGCCGUAUUUGGAAGGUCGAAGGACGCGCGGCAAUUUGCAGAAGUCUCAAAAGGAACAUAAAAUUUGCGUUCCCGACGAAAGAGAAAUUAACGACGUUGACGUUGACGCAGACGAGCAGCAAAUACAAGAACGCAGUACAGACGCUGAAGAUAUAGCUGAUGAAGGAGACCAAGAACAUAUUGCAGUUAUACAACAACAAACACCUUCGUAAGACGAUAUAUUGCUCCCCGAAAAUAGUAAAACAUUAGAGCACAUGAAGAAAAACAAAACGUGUUUACAAAAAAAAAUUCUGCAGCCGAGAAAAUGGCGACAUUAAUGGAACAAAAUGCUGCUCUCAGAAAAAGAAAAUUCGAAGAGAAAAACAGCGCAAAAUAAACAUACAUGUUUUGAAGAUAUGGACAAAACUGACAUAUUUUUCCUAAGUUUGGCGAGAAUGACGAAACAAUUACCAAAAGCCGAACAAGCUGUAGUUAAAAUAACAGUGAGCACUGCAAUCCUUCAAGCUGAAUUGAGAAGCGCACAAGCACAAAGUGCUCCAAUACCUGCACCAUCUUCGUCAUAUGCUUUGCAACCAUUGUUUUCACCUCACUACCAUUCUAGGCAGUCUACGUCAUCAUCGUUAUAUUCUGUGCAACCCUUGUCGUCACCUCAUGCAUAUUCUAGAUCAUCAUCAGAAUUCUCUUCGGAGAGAGAGAACAUGCAAUCGGCUACAGCAGAGACUCGCGAGAAAUGG
rnacentral:lncRNA from 1 species